AAUACCACCCUUUAAUGUUUGAUGUUCUAACGUUGGCCCGUUAUCCGGGUUGCGGACAGUGUCUGGUGGGUAGUUUGACUGGGGCGGUCUCCUCCUAAAGAGUAACGGAGGAGCACGAAGGUUGGCUAAUCCUGGUCGGACAUCAGGAGGUUAGUGCAAUGGCAUAAGCCAGCUUGACUGCGAGCGUGACGGCGCGAGCAGGUGCGAAAGCAGGUCAUAGUGAUCCGGUGGUUCUGAAUGGAAGGGCCAUCGCUCAACGGAUAAAAGGUACUCCGGGGAUAACAGGCUGAUACCGCCCAAGAGUUCAUAUCGACGGCGGUGUUUGGCACCUCGAUGUCGGCUCAUCACAUCCUGGGGCUGAAGUAGGUCCCAAGGGUAUGGCUGUUCGCCAUUUAAAGUGGUACGCGAGCUGGGUUUAGAACGUCGUGAGACAGUUCGGUCCCUAUCUGCCGUGGGCGCUGGAGAACUGAGGGGGGCUGCUCCUAGUACGAGAGGACCGGAGUGGACGCAUCACUGGUGUUCGGGUUGUCAUGCCAAUGGCACUGCCCGGUAGCUAAAUGCGGAAGAGAUAAGUGCUGAAAGCAUCUAAGCACGAAACUUGCCCCGAGAUGAGUUCUCCCUGACUCCUUGAGAGUCCUGAAGGAACGUUGAAGACGACGACGUUGAUAGGCCGGGUGUGUAAGCGCAGCGAUGCGUUGAGCUAACCGGUACUAAUGAACCGUGAGGCUUAACCUUACAACGCCGAAG
rnacentral:rRNA from 1 species